UCAGGAAGACAGAAUCAAGGUUAAAGAGUCUUCUUUAAGAUGACUUAAUUACAAGUAUCAGGAGGAAGACAGAGUGAUCCUGCCUUGCAUCCUGCCAAGCCACAGCACGCCUCACUUUCACAGUGCACACAGAGAUCUGAUCUCAGCUUGUUUGCUCUGAAGAUAAUGAAUACAGGUUCAAACCCACCGUGCCCGUUCCUUGUGGGGAAGAUCGUUCCACCUGCCAAAAAAACCUCAGGAGUUUAAUCUGAUUUUCAUCUUCUCAAGGUAAACAGUGGAGGCAUUGACUCAGGAUGGCA